CGCUUAGCGCCUCCUUUGCCCAGACCCUUCCCGCCUUUGCCGCGCCCAGACAUGUCUUGUACUAAACAAAAUGCAACACGGCAAGCCUCGCAGCAGUACUUUAUAUAGUAAUAAAUCGGACCUGAUUGGGAACUCUCCACACCAGCUGCAUCCGGUCGGCCGAUUCACAGACCUUGCGCCCUGCCCACGACUUCAGGAAAAAAUGGAAAAGGGGGUACUUAAACUCCAGUUUCUAAAAAUGAUGCCCAGUUAAAAAUUACUCAGCUCAUCUUGCCCUUCUACAGUGUUUUAGGCUGACCACCGCUGCAUUCCAUUGUCUGGGUCUUUGCAGCCUGUUUUUCCUGUCACCUCUUAGCAUCGAUUGUUCUAGUGCUUUGUGGCUGCUGGAAUCAAAUGGCGCCAUCUCUAGAGGGGUAAUCACAGUCGUUUCGGGCAUUUGUGAAAUAGCGUGUAGAAACUGCUUCCGUACAAACUCGAAGUGAUCAGCCUAUGGAGUGGCUGACUGCAAAAGACGACGCCUGAUGAUAGCUCCAAGGAAAUCAGCUGUGCCCAGAAACCCUGUCUUUUACAUUUACAAAUAAAGUGCAGGAGGAAAAGACCGAGGAUGACUUUAUUCCAAGAAAAAGAGUUUCAAAUGGCCGGACGCGGUGGCUCACGCCUGUAAUCCCAGCCAGAAGGGAGGCCGAUGCAUGUGGAUCACAAGAAAUGUUUCCUGUUUUGGAACACAAGAUUGGAAAAUGUUGCUUUAUGAAGCAGAAGCUAACCGAAAUCAUAAAAAUAAAUAAAUAUAAAAUAAAAAAUAAGAAAGACUGGCCAUUAGCAGAAGUGACAUCAUUAAAGUGAUUUGUUUCUGUGUUACUGAUCAAACUGGAUUAUUUCCCAAAUCUUGACCAGUGUGACUUCUCAAUCCAAUCUUAUCAGAGAAUUUAGGUGUAUUUCCCCAUUUCUGAGGGUGAAGGUCAUUUUAAACUUCUGCUUUGAUUUCUGAAGUUUCAAUAAUUUGAGUCUCUGGAAUUAACCAACAGUAGAAAGAUAAACAGGAAAAAAAAAAAAGGCAUACAAAUUUAUUACCUGCAUAUGCACAGGAGCCUCACAAAAUACAGUACUCCAAGAAAUGAUACCGGUGGGCUAGGGGAGGUACCCAAAUGCCAUUAGGAUGUUGAUCCCAGCCAGUGUCCAGGCCUUUGCCACUGCUGCCAGAAAGAAUCCAAGGACAAGUCAGAAAAAGUACAGAGGUUUAUUGCAAAGUGAAAAAUACAUGCUCAAGGAAGGGAAGUGCAGGCUUACUCAAGAGAGUCAGUCUUGCCCAGGAGUGAUUGGGGCUUCUAACUUUAUGGGUUUCCUUAACCAAGGGGUGGAAUAUCCAUGAAGAUUUCUGGAAAAGGGUGACAAUUUCUCAGAACUGUGGUGCCAUCCAUUUUUCCAUGAAAUAUGGGUGUUCUCGGAACUGUCAUGGUGUUGGUGGAUGUCUGAUUUGUAUGUUAAUAAGUGUAUAAUAAGGUCCCAGGUGAAAGCUAGGUCAAAUCCAGUGCCAUGUUGGGUCAAGUAGGACUUAGCCAGCUUGGCAAACAUUUCGGUUUUCAGGGUCUCUUUGGCUCCUAGUUUGUGCAGCUAUUUCAACAGUUUCCUUUUUGCUAGUCAUGUGAAACUACUGCAUGGAAUCUUCUAUUCUCUUGUGACCACCCUAUAUUAUUUCUCUCUCAGAAGGGCCAAAUAAUUGACGUUUUUAUGCCAUUCUGAGACUACAGAAAGAAAAAAGGUCUUGAGACUUCUGGGGGUUUGGAGGAGGUGGUGACACAUGUUGUAGGAGGGUGAAGGAGGAAGGGCAAAGGCACCAGGGGAGGAAAGGCAAAGGUUUUCUUGUUAUCCAAGUCUCUUCCUUUCUCCCUCCUAUAAUCUGUUUUCCCAGGUUCCAAGCUUGCACUCUUUCUAUAAUCUCAAGGUGAUAUAUAAACUUCUGUAUCUCAUUGGUGGGUGGGUCCUCAUUUUGAAGUCUCCCGUGUCUAUGUGCUAAAUCAACCGGCCUCAUGUCCGUGAUUUUCAGCAAGCUUCCAGGGGACCCAAGGGCAGUGCCCGUUUCAGUUAAAAAUGGCAUCUCAUUUAACCUGUAAUCUAAUUGUUAGUUAUGGGGUUCUGGAGAUGCUAUCCCCAAAGGACAGCAUGUGCAGGAAGGACUUUGGCUUUCCCCUUGAAGCGGAUUGACCUUGGAUAUAGAUUUGCUGACUUUCCUCGGAGAAAGUGAGACCCUUGUGAGAUGGGUCACAGAGGACAAGUGAAAAGGACCGUCUUAGAAGACAAAGGACACUGCAAGGAAUCAGAAUGAACAACCCUUGACGACUUUCCGCCAGUUUAUCCCUGCUUU
rnacentral:lncRNA from 1 species